rnacentral:rRNA from 1 species
CCCUUGUACACACCGCCCGUCACACCAUGGGAGUUGGUUUUACCCGAAGCCGGUGCGCAAACCGCAAGGAUGCAGCCGACCACGGUAAGGUCAGCGACUGGGGUG